CUUCCUUUCUCUCUCUGGUGAAUUGGAAGGAAAAUCGAAGAAGAAAACUUGAAGAAACAUUUGGUGAUUCCUGGAAUCUUAUGCAGAAGAUACUUAUUCUUUGAUUCAAAUGUUAGAGGAAGUUAUAUUCACAAAAAUGCACCAUGGGGUCUACUUUUUCGAGAUUCAUGUCCCCACUUAUGUUGGUGAAAGUGAACAAGCAGAUUCGAGGCAUUUGGAGGCCAACUCACGAGG